GCUGGGCACGGUGGCACGUGCCUGUAGUCCCAGUUACUCAGGAGGCUGAGGCUGGAGGAUUACUUGAGCCCAGGAGUUCUGGGCUGUAGUGUGCUAUGCCCAUUGGGUGUCCACACUAAGUUUGGCAUCAGUAUGGUGUCCUCCCAGGAGCAGGGGACCACCAGAUUGCCUAAGGAGGGGUGAACCGGCCAGGUCAGAAAUGGAGCAGUAGUGGGAUCGGCCUGUGAAUAGCCACUGCACUCCAGCCUGGGCAACAUAGCAAGACCCCAUCUCAA
ensembl:misc_RNA Metazoa_SRP Metazoan signal recognition particle RNA